AAAUGGAAACAAAUAUAAAAUUUUUAUAAAAGAUUUCCUUUAAGAAUUUUCUGGCGUACUCUCGACACAUCCCUGCUACCAGGCAAGCUUCCCACUGUCGGUCUAUCUCUGCUGCGCAAGGCCUACCACAGGAAUUAAGUUUUUAGGCAAUGGGGUUUCAAAGUAAAGAACCAAGCUUGCAAGCUGAGAAUACAAUGGAUGAUGAUGAUGAUGUAACAGUUUUUAGGCAAUUUGGGUCUGAAUCAUAAAUGUUGGGUCUGAAUCAUAUGUGAAGUUAACGGAGCUCGAAGAACGCUGUAAACAAUCGGGGAGUCCUUAUUGAUAAGCUCGAAGAUAUCGGCUGCAAUUUUUUUUUAUAAUUUUUAAUAUUUUUAUUACUUUAAAAUAAAUCUAUAUUGAAAUAAAUUUCUUUUUAUAUUUUUAGAAUUUUUAAAUAAAUAUAACACAUAUUACCUGAA